rnacentral:rRNA from 1 species
GGGUAGUAUUUAAAUAAAAACCAUUUUACAAUGGUGGCAUUGUUUUAAUUAGAGGAAUUUGUUUAUUAAUCGAUAACCCACGAUAAAUUUAACUUAAAUAUAAAAUUUAUAUAUCGCCAUCACUAGAGAUUUAAACAUUUAAUACUCAAAAGAAAAAUUAAAAAGUUAGGUCAAGGUGUAAUCUUAACUUAAGUUUAAAUGAGUUACACUAAAUUUAAUUUAAGGAUAAAGUUAUUAAAAAACUUUUAAAAGAGGAUUUAACAAUAAUUUAUUAACAAAAUUUUUAAAUGAAUUAUAUAAUAUAUGUAU